AUGGCGGCCGUCCUCGCCAUGCUGGUUCUACCUUCAUCUGGCCACUGUCUGUCCCCGUCCCCGGGGCCGGCACAGGCGCCACCACUGCCCGCACCGUCACCACCAUCAGCGCCGGCGCCGGCUCCGGCGCCAUGGGACCCACCAUGCUCUGAGUCCCGGCGCCACCACUGCUACUCGGUUACGUAUCCGGCGUGCUAUUCGGCGUGCAGAGCCUCCAGCAAAUGCACCGAAUGUGAACAGUAUGUUGCUCUCUGCGGCAAGUGCAAGGCCGCCGAGAAAGACAAGUGCACGGCCAACUGCCCCGGCGGCGGCUGUGACUGCGACGGCGCCGCCCAGAGUGCAUGCGGCAACGACUGUGACGCCCAAGCUUGCAACCGGUGCGCGUAUGGGAAAGACAAGCAAUGCCACAUGGGAUGCUGGGGCGAGUGCAGCAAGUGCUAA
rnacentral:rRNA from 1 species